rnacentral:lncRNA from 1 species
GAGCAAUUCUUGGCUACAAAAGGUAUGCCCCUGCUCCAGCAUUCUGAAGAUGUGGUCUUUCCCACUCAGAACUGACAUCUUGUGAGUCAUUCAAUAAUUUGGUCAAAGAAUAUUCUCAGGCACGACCUACACUACCUGGAGGUAGCAUAUUUGGGUGUUGGAUCACCUAAAGGGACUGUUUCAGUCCAUUUUCUGCAGCUAUAACAGAAUUUUUCAGACUGGGAAAACUUUUAACAGAACAAGUCAGACUACAGAGACAACAAUAAUGAAUACAUUUUAAAAAUCAGAAGAUAUGUGUAAGUAGGAGCUCUGACACAGAAAACAUACAGCAAGUAUACAAGAAAUCAGUUGCUUCUGUAAUAAUAAUGAAUAAUAAUGAAUGGAUCCCUGAAGAGUAG